AUCAUGAUAAUCUGAGGCUUUUCUUUUGUUCCAUCCCUUCUUAUCAUUUUUUUUUCAAUUGUAUAUUAUCUCUUUCUUCUAUAAAAUAUUAAAAUGUAAGAUAUUAUUUAAGAAGAAUAAGUAGCAAUACAAGUAUUUAAGAUUUUCUUUCAGAUCCGGUGAUACAUCAUGUAUGGGUAGGUGUACGCAAAGAAGCAGAAUUUUAGGUUCCAAGGGUCUGUAAUGGUUUUUUUUUUUUU
rnacentral:lncRNA from 1 species